CAGCCGCCACGGUAAUGCGUAGGGUGCGAGCGUUAAUCGGAAUUACUGGGCGUAAAGCGUGCGCAGGCGGUUCGUUAAGACAGAUGUGAAAGCCCCGGGCUCAACCCGGGAAGUGCACUCGAUACUGCUGGACUGGAGUGUGGGAGAGGUUGGUGGAAUUCUCGGUGUAGAGGUGAAAUUCGUAGAUAUCGAGAGGAACACCGGCGGCGAAGGCGGCUCACUGGUCCAUUACUGACGCUGAGGUGCGAAAGCGUGGGGAGCAAACAGGAUUAGAUACCCCCGUAGUCCCUGUCUCUUAUAC
rnacentral:rRNA from 1 species